rnacentral:rRNA from 1 species
AUUGAACGCUAGCGGGAUGCUUUACACAUGCAAGUCGAACGGAGUGGCGGACGGGUGAGUAAUAUAUCGGAAUGUGCCCAGUAGCGGGGGAUAACUACUCGAAAGUGUGGCCACUACCGCAUACUUUUGGAGCGGCCGAUAUCGGUAUAGCUUGUGGGUGGGGUAUAGGCUCACCAAGGCAACGAUCCGUAGCUGGUUUGAGAGGACGACCAGCCACACUGGAACUGAGAAACGGCCCAGACUCCUACGGGAGGCAGCAGUGGGGAAUCUUCGGCAAUGGGCGAAAGUCUGACCGAGCAACGCCGCGUGAGUGAAGAAGGUUUUCGGAUCGUAAAGCACUGUUGGUAGGGAGGCGGUAUCUAAACAGAAAGCCACGGCUAACUACGUGCCAGCAGCCGCGGUAAUAC